rnacentral:rRNA from 1 species
AAGGAUCAUUACCUAGAGUUUGCGGGCUUUGCCUGCUAUCUCUUACCCAUGUCUUUUGAGUACUUACGUUUCCUCGGCGGGUCCGCCCGCCGAUUGGACAAUUUAAACCCUUUGCAGUUGCAAUCAGCGUCUGAAAAAACAUAAUAGUUACAACUUUCAACAACGGAUCUCUUGGUUCUGGCAUCGAUGAAGAACGCAGCGAAAUGCGAUAAGUAGUGUGAAUUGCAGAAUUCAGUGAAUCAUCGAAUCUUUGAACGCACAUUGCGCCCCUUGGUAUUCCAUGGGGCAUGCCUGUUCGAGCGUCAUUUGUACCUUCAAGCUUUGCUUGGUGUUGGGUGUUUGUCUCGCCUCUGCGUGUAGACUCGCCUUAAAACAAUUGGCAGCCGGCGUAUUGAUUUCGGAGCGCAGUACAUCUCGCGCUUUGCACUCACAACGGCGGCGUCCAAAAGUACAUUUUUUACACUCUUGACCUCGGAUCAGGUAGGGAUACCCGCUGAACUUAA